AGCGGCGGACGGGUGAGUAACACGUGGGUAACCUGCCUGUAAGAUUGGGAUAACUCCGGGAAACCGGAGCUAAUACCGGAUAACAUGUUGAACCGCAUGGUUCAACAUUGAAAGAUGGCUUUUGCUAUCACUUACAGAUGGACCCGCGGCGCAAUAGCUAGUUGGUGAGGUAACGGCUCACCAAGGCAACGAUGCGUAGCCCACCUGAGAGGGUGAUCGGCCACACUGGGACUGAGACACGGCCCAGACUCCUACGGGAGGCAGCAGUAGGGAAUCUUCCGCAAUGGACGAAAGUCUGACGGAACAACGCCCCGUGAACGAUGAAGGCCUUCGGGUCGUAAAGUUCUGUUGUUAGGGAAGAACAAGUACCAGAAUAACUGCUGGUACCUUGACGGUACCUAACCAGAAAGCCACGGCUAACUACGUGCCAGCAGCCGCGGUAAUACGUAGGUGGCAAGCGUUGUCCGGAAUUAUUGGGCG
rnacentral:rRNA from 1 species